UACGUAGGGGGCUAGCGUUGUCCGGAAUCAUUGGGCGUAAAGCGCGUGUAGGCGGUCCGGUAAGUCCGCUGUGAAAGUCGAGGGCUCAACCCUCGAAUGCCGGUGGAUACUGUCGGGCUAGAGUGCGGAAGAGGCGAGUGGAAUUCCUGGUGUAGCGGUGAAAUGCGCAGAUAUCAGGAGGAACACCUAUUGCGAAGGCAGCUCGCUGGGACGUUACUGACGCUGAGGCGCGACAGCGUGGGGAGCAAACAGG
rnacentral:rRNA from 1 species